rnacentral:rRNA from 1 species
AGUCUAACAUGUGCGCGAGUCACUGGGCGUAAAACCCCAAGGGCGCAGCGAAAGCGAAGGUCUGUUAUGCAGGCUGAGGGGAGAUCCGUUCCAUUGGUCUAAUGCCGUGGCGGCGCAUCCCCGGGGCGUUUGUGAUGCGGCUCGGCUUGCCGGGCUGCUGGCAGGCGCACCAAGAGCGCACAUGUUGGGACCCGAAAGAUGGUGACCUAUGCCCGGCCAGGACGAAGCCAGGGGAAACUCUGGUGGAGGUCCGCAGCGAUUCUGACGUGCAAAUCGAUCGUCUGAGCCGGGUAUAGGGGCGAAAGACUAAUCGAACCAUCUAGUAGCUGGUUCCCUCCGAAGUUUCCCUCAGGAUAGCUGGCGCUCGAGUGACGGAGUCUCAUCCGGUAAAGCGACUGAUUAGAGGCUUUGGGGUCGCAAUGACCUCGACCUAUUCUCAAACUUUAAAUGGGUGAGAAGCAGGGCAUUCCUAAAUGGCGAUGCCCUGUGUUCUGGAUCUAUGAGUGCCCAGUGGGCCAAUUUUGGUAAGCAGAACUGGCGCUGUGGGAUGAACCAAAAGCCAGGUUAAGGUGCCGGAGUUGACGCGCAUCAGAUACCACUAAAGGCGUCGGUGGCUAAAGACAGCAGGACGGUGGCCA